rnacentral:rRNA from 1 species
AACGAACGCUGGCGGCAUGCCUAACACAUGCAAGUCGAACGAUUGCCUUCGGGUGAUAGUGGCGCACGGGUGCGUAACGCGUGGGAAUCUACCCUUAGGUUCGGAAUAACAGCUGGAAACGGCUGCUAAUACCGGAUGAUAUCGCGAGAUCAAAGAUUUAUCGCCUGAGGAUGAGCCCGCGUUGGAUUAGGUAGUUGGUGGGGUAAAGGCCUACCAAGCCGACGAUCCAUAGCUGGUCUGAGAGGAUGAUCAGCCACACUGGGACUGAGACACGGCCCAGACUCCUACGGGAGGCAGCAGUGGGGAAUAUUGGACAAUGGGCGCAAGCCUGAUCCAGCAAUGCCGCGUGAGUGAUGAAGGCCCUAGGGUUGUAAAGCUCUUUUACCCGGGAAGAUAAUGACUGUACCGGGAGAAUAAGCCCCGGCUAACUCCGUG